UACGUAGGGGGCAAGCGUUAUCCGGAAUUAUUGGGCGUAAAGCGUCCGUAGAUGGUUUUGCCAGUCGGCUGUCAAAGCACAGGGCUUAACCCUGUAAAGGCAGUGGAAACUACAAGACUAGAGUGCAGUAGGGGCAGAGGGAAUUCCCAGUGUAGCGGUGAAACGCGUAGAGAUUGGGAAGAACAUCCGUGGCGAAAGCGCUCUGCUGGACUGCAACUGACAUUGAGGGACGAAAGCUAGGGGAGCGAAUGGG
rnacentral:rRNA from 1 species